ensembl:lncRNA
GACACAGUGUUACAGACUGACUGCAAUCUCUUUUCCUGUUUUCAGACGGGACAGAGUUGAUUUUCUUCAUAGUGUCUGACUUUUUUUAGGAAGGUGGUGUAACUAUAAAGAACAACAAGCAAGAUGUUCUACCAUCAUAUGGAAAAAAAAAAAAAAGAGAGAGAGAGAGAGAAGAGUAGGUAAUUUGGAAUUGCAGAAAUAGAACACUGAAGUUAUCAGCUCACUACAAUAUUCAUCAAUAAUUACUCAAUAAUUACUUUUUCAUCUCAACAAUAUGCUCUUGUAUCCUAACCAAAAAAAAAAGAUUGUGAAAAUCACUCUGGAGAGAUUCUCAUGAUGAUUGAACAGGAAAAAUUAACAACGUUUUUUGCUGUGUGUCAUUUGAAGCAUCCAAAACAGCUCUCACUCAUCAGUAGGCUAUCUAUGGAACAGGCCAGAUCAGCUGCUGCAUGGGGCCUGGCUGAAAAGGAGUUAAUUCUCUUCAUGGCAGACCCUAGGGUGCUGUGUUUUGGAUUUAUGACCAAAGCGGUGUUGCUAACACAUCAGUGUUUCAGCCACAGUUGAGCAGUGCUUACGCAUUGUUAAGGUCUCUCUGUUUCUCUCCCCACCCUGCCAGGGCAGCAAGUAGACUGGAGGUGCACAAAAGGUUUGGAGGGGAAAGAGCAAGUACAGCUAAUCCAGACUGACCAAAGGCAUAUUUCAAACGAUAUGGCUAUGACAUCAUGCUCAACAAUAAAAGCUGGAGUAAGAGUAAAGAAGGAGGAAGGUGGAGGGAACUUUUCAAGAAACAAGAAGCUGUUGCAUAUGAUGGAACCCUCCUAACCUGCAAAUGGCUGAAAAUCUACCUAUCAGAAUAUAUACUGCAUAUAUACGUAAAUACUGAAUUAAUUAUUUUUCUUUGCCAGCAUGAGCAGCUUUAAUUUUUACCUAUUAAACUUUCUAUC